UGCCGAUCUUGCCCUGAUAAGUUGAUUUGUAAUGGUUGCUUUAUUUGACCACUGCAGAGUUCAAUAUUAUAGUGUGCGUGUGUCUCAGUAUCCUUACAAAUAUGCAUACUGUAUGACAGAUACAGGUAAAAAUAAUCUUCUCUCUAACACUUUAAAUGUUAGGGGUGGACCUCAUCGGACCCUUCACGAAAUCCAGGAAUAGUAAAGGAAGAGUACGUGCUUAACUACCCUUCUGUAACCCAUUAAAAAGGGUGCUUGCAACCAAAAAUAGAUUUUCGUUUUGUAGAAUACCCAUCAAGGACGAGACUGGCGAGGCCACCUCCAAGGUGAUGGUGGACAUCUUCAACACCCACGGGUCUCCGGAGGUCAUCUUGAGUGACCGAGGUCAUGAGCGUUGGAACAAGGUUUGGUGUAUGGACCAACCAGACCCUUAAGACUGCCAUGGGAAAGCCCCUUGAUUGGUACCAGGAAGGGUGGGAGAACAACCUGAAGGUAAUUCUCUUUGCACACAACAGCAGCAUCCAGGCCGCGUACAGACGGGAGUCGCAGCUGUUGACUGAGAUCACUGAAACUCCACCUGAUGUGGUGGAAGUUGUCAAACCAGAUCAGAACGCCAUAGAGGACUACCUUCAGGCACAGACUGAAGGAUGUGGAGGUUUUUGACUAGAGCUGGAAAAUGGAUCAGAACGUUUGAAGAGCAAACCAUGGGGAAACUACUGGCUGUGGGGGAUCUGAAGGCACUGCUGGCGAGAGUAGCAGGAGCGGCAAAAUUGGAGGAUGUACUGGAUGCCAGUGGCCUGAGAGUGGCAAUAGGGGAUCCAAUGAGGGAUGGAGUGGACUUUGAUACAUACUGUCCAGGAGUCUGGAAAGCCCUAAGAGACGAGUACUCUGCACGGAUGGACACAAAGUCACUAAAAGGAGAGCUACUGGGGGUGACAGAGAAUCUGGCUGUGUACUUACACAGACAGCUGAAACGAUGGAGGCAGGAAACAGAACAGAAUCCAGAGGGAGACCCACUGAUGACAACUCUGUUCCGAAACUCAGUGAUAGAAGCCAUGCCCCAGCCAGUGAGAAGCAAGCUGGAGGAUGUAGUGGGACUGACUUCAAAAUCACACAAAAGAAUUCUGUGACCAUGUCAUUCAUGCAGUGGAAAAACACAGAAAGGAUUAACAGAAACUCACAGAACAAGAAAAAAACAUUCAGAGAAAAAUAGCUCAGCUUCAGCUGGAAGAAUUGACCUACAAAGGAAAAAAGAAAAUCUAGGCUCCAGUGACAAUACCUGUGCCGGAAGUAGGGACAAUGGCUGCAGUCUCCCCAGGAGGGCCGCAACUGCCUCCCGUCCAGCAAGCCCAAGUGCAGCCCACACCACCAGUAUGCACAACAACCCCAACAAUUUAAUAAUGACAAAUGGGCAACAUAGACAUCCACAGAACAAUCAGAGAAAAGGAUUUAGCAGGCCACAGGGGCCACCUGGGACCUGUUGGGGAUGUUACCAGCUAGGACACUUCAAAAUAAAAGGUAUAAUGUUGGUAAACAAAGGGUUCAAAGCAAAAGAAUUGGGACUCAUGGUGAAGAAAGCCAAGAAUUGUAAAUGGAAUAAAACAGACAAUCCAUUGAUUUUCCACUCUAAAGAUAAAGCCUUUAUAAAGAUACUGACCACAAUGGGGAUCCAAGGGUAGUAGAGGUUACAGCUAAUCAACAAAUACAAUUAGGAGAUAAUAUUGAAUCAAUAAGUGAACAGAGACACGAAAUGGAAAAAAAUUUACCUGAAGGGGUAUGGUCGCAACAUGACACAGACGUAGGAUUGGUUAACCUCUCUGGGAUCGUUCGGGACGCAAGCGUCCCACCUCGCCAACAGCCAGUGAAAUUGCAGGGCGCCAAAUUCAAACAACAGAAAUCUCAUAAUUAAAAUCCCUCAAACAUACAAGUAUUAUACACCAUUUUAAAGAUACAUUUCUUGUUAAUCCAGCCACAGUGUCCGAUUUCAAAAAGGCUUCACGGUGAAAGCACACCAUGUGAUUAUGUUAGGUCAGCGCCUAGCCACAGAAAACCAUACAGCCAUUUUCCAAAGAAGGAGAGGUGUCACAAAAGUCAGAAAUAGCAUUAAAAUUAAUCACUAACCUUUGAUGAUCUUCAUCUGAUAGCACUCCCAGGUCUCUAUGUUAGACAAUAAAUGUUUGUUUUGUUCGAUAAAGUUCAUCUUUAUGUCCAAAUACCUCCUUUUUGUUCGCGCG
rnacentral:lncRNA from 1 species